UACAGAGGUCUCAAGCGUUGUUCGGAUUCAUUGGGCGUAAAGGGGUGCGUAGGUGGCGCUGUAAGUCGGGUGUGAAAUUUCGGGAGCUUAACUCCGAAACUGCAUUCGAUACUGCGGUGCUUGAGGACUGGAGAGGAGACUGGAAUUCAUGGUGUAGCAGUGAAAUGCGUAGAUAUCGAUAAGGAAGACCAGUGGCGAAGGCGGGUCUCUGGACAGUUCCUGACGCUGAGGCACGAAGGUCAGGGGAGCAAACGGG
rnacentral:rRNA from 1 species